rnacentral:snoRNA from 1 species
GUGCAAGCUUUCCAGCGUGGCCUGGCUCGUGGUAGCCUCGAUCAUUCCUGUACAGCUUGCUAGAUCAUGCUUGGGAUAGUUUGAGGCAUCUCCCUGCUGCUCCGGGGGGAAGUUAUAAAAAUCUCAGACAUUA